rnacentral:misc_RNA from 1 species
AACGCACGAGACCUGCGGACCUGCGGAAGGAUCAUUAACAAAUCCAAUAAUUGCUGGAGAACACUUGUUCUUUUUGCAAAUAUUAAUCCGCUGGCCUCUCUUAGAGCGGCUGGCUGUGAUAUAAAUGCGUGAUAUGUCGACAGUGUGUGUAUAAGUUAAUAUUGACAACUUUUAACAAUGGAUCUCU